CUGUAGAACUUCUCAUCCUCCGUAACUGCAUGAGCCAAUUCUAUAAUAAAUCUCCUAAUGUAUCUCUAUAUAUAUCCUAUUGGGUCUGUUUCUCUGGAGAACUCUAAUAAUAUACUACCUAAUCAAAUUGUUGCGAGGAUUAAAUAAAAUGAUAUAUGUCAUAGUGCCAAAUAACAAGCCCUCAACAAAUGGCCAUUAUCUUUAUUACUAGUGGGAUUUAGAUCAUGUGCUUCUUACUAAAAUAAUAAAUAAUAUUUAUUGUUUGUUUCAGCUAUGAAAAGAAAACAUUUGGAAGAUCACUGAUUCCUUCAUGGAGAGGCUGGCUUGGGAAUAGAUGACGUGUCAAAGAUUGACAUCAACCUUGAGUGCUUAUUUGUGGACUUGAGAUACAGAUAAAAAAAAAAAAAAAAAAACCUCCCUAGAGUGAGGGCUACUUGGGAUACAUGCUAUAUCCCAAGGAGUUCUCAGUUUGAGGUCAGCCCCAGCUCUACAACUCACCAGGAGAGUGCGCGAGGAUGAGGGAGAGACAGCCUGCUCUGGUUCUCUUCAAGGUGACAAUGACACCUGUUGACAGAUGAGAAUUCCAGCCAGGAAUACAGAUUUAGGAAUCAUGUUUCUCACUCUCAUGAUGACAUAGAAGAGAUGCGUCUGAAUCUUUCUGCCAGUGUGUUAAAGUUAUUCUGAUAUUGACUGUAGUUCUGAGCUUUGUCUCUAUCCCACCAAACCACUAACUUCUGGAAAUUACUUGUAGACCAAGAUGGGAGGACUCCGUGUGUGGCUCCGUGAGUAUGUCUGUUACUUCUCCUCUUAUAUAAUUUUGAAGAUAGCUAUUUUUCUCUCUUGGCAGAUAUGAAUGACUUAUCGUGCCUGUCCAGAGUCAGGGAAAGGAGAAACAAUCUUAUUUGAGAAGGGAGGAUAUCACUGCAGUGGUUGUGAAAUCGUGUUUGGAAGCUAGAUUGCUCUAGACCACUAAGGUAUGAUUUCACAGAAAUUCCCAAGAUCCCUGCAGGGGAAAUAACAAAGGUCCUGGGUGGCAUGGCAACAAUAGAGAUGACAGAAUUGGGAAUAAUAUCAGGCUAAACCUGUCCUGGGAGGCAGGGAGGAAAAGCAGCAGCAAGUACAACAUUUGGGACAGAGAGCUUGAGCUUGAACAGAAUGUACCGGUGCUGUUGGGUGGCAGCCAGGCCCAACAAUUUAGCAUUGGGCUUUCUCUCUUCAUGUGACAAAGAAACUUCCUAAAAUACUAAAAGCUAAAGGAGAUUGUUAUCUAAGCUUGAGAUGGAAGGUUGCCAGCGGAAACUUGGAGGAUCACAGCCAGUCGCCUGGGAUUGACCACAGGGAGUGGCAGAGGCAGAAAGCAAAAGACCAGUUGCAAUUAUCCAGGUAAAAGAUGGAGGCUGUUGCAAUAAUCCAGUCCUUUUUAGAAUCCUGAAUUGAGCCUGUGUUCCCAGUUCCUAGAAACCCUCAAGGUUAUUGGUUUCCUCCUCGCUUAAUAGACCAGUGGAAGAAAUCUACCUCCAGUUCUAUCUUCACAUGAGCAACUGUUUACAGUUUACAAUAUUACUCUGAAAAUCAGUUCUUUUCAAGUUUUAUCUAACACCCACCAGAAGAAACAGAAGAUUAUGAAAAUGGAAUUUGUCAAAGUUCCUCUCCCAACAAUAUGAUAUUUAAUUUUGCUAACAUUUUUUUUUGAACACUUACUAUAUUGCAGACAAUGGUCUAAGUAAAGCAUUUUAUGUGCAUCCUAUCAUGUCAUCAUCACACAGCCCUGUGAGGUAGAUACUAUUAUUAUUAACCACAUUUCACAUUCAAAAAAACUGAGGCUUAGAGAGACUAAGUAAAUUGUCCAAGGUCACACAGCCAUGAAGUGGCAGAGCUGUGGUUAAAACCUAUGUCUGUCUGAUGUUUAAGAUUUUGCUGUUAGCAUUACUUUGAAAUGACAAUAUGAGGGCAUUUUAUGUAUUUUUUUUGCCCCAAUAUGAUCUGCAGAAACUAUGUAUUUUAAGUACUACAUUUCUUUUAUUUACCAAAUUAUUGUCAGAUAAGAAACCGAAAUAAAAGUUUACAGGGUCUAGGAUUCCUCCAUAAUGAAUGAACUUUGGGGUAUUUCAGUGACAAAUUGGCUUUAACGCGAUCAAAUUCCAUCCUACAAUGAAAGUGUGUUAGUUUGUGGUUUCAAGUUUAAAAACAGCACUGUAUUGUCUUCCAGAAAUAUAUAAAUAGAAAUUCAAGAAGUAUUUCAAUGAAUACAGAUAAAAUUAGUUUUGUUAGAACAUCAAAUAUGUGGGUUUCAUUUCUUAGCUCAGUUUAGAAACUGUAAUUUCAAUUUUUUUUAGCAGCUGUGGUAAAUUUUGAGAUUUGAAAUUUCAUAUAAUAUAAAUCCUCAUUUAUUGAGCAUUUAAAUUAUAUGCCCAACAAUUUACUGUGUACAUUACUUCACUUGUUCUUAACUAUAACUCUACAAAAUAUUAUUGUCCUUGAUUUAUAGAUGAAGAUAUUGAGACUCAGUUAAGUAACUUGCUUGAAAUUCAAAAACGUUAACUGUGGAAGGCAGUAUUUGAACCCAGUGUUCAAAACCCCAUGCUCUUUUUAUUAUAUGACCUUAUUUCCUAUUCAGUCUUCAGAAGAUAUAUUGUCUUAUUAGAUUAUUCUCGUUCUCUAAAUAAGUGACCUUGGGCAACUAUCUUUUUCCCUGGUAUUUUCCCCUGCCUUUAAAACAAUGUGAUCAAACUGGAAGUUUUUCACGAUCUCUCUUAGCCCUAAAGCUCCUUGGUUCUGUAAUUCCACCAAUAGCCCAUUUCAAAAAUAAUUCUACAGUAAUCAGUGGGACUCCUGUUUUUCCCAUCUUUUUUUUUUUUGAAACAGAAAAUUGAAACUUUUAAAUUAGUUUAGUAAAUACAUCUACUAGUUUUUUUCUUUUAUAGUCAUGGUUAUAUUAUUUGGUCCUUCUUAGUUGCAACAUGUUUCCUUGCUGUCAAUUUAUAAUACCUCUCAUCAACAAUAGCCUGAAGAAAUAGAUUUGAAUUGCUUUCCCUAAUUUAUAGCUGGAAAACUAGGCUACGCUGGUAUCUUAAAUUGACUUUCCUGAGGUCACGGGCACUCAGUGCCAAGAGGAGUUGGUACCUACGCAUUUGAAAUUUCUGGAUUUCUGGUCUUACUCUGUACUUAGUCACUCUUUUCUUUCAUUUGGCCCUAUGGUGGGCAAACUACAGCCUACAGGCCAAUUCCAGCCUACCAUCUGUUUUUGUAUGGUCCAUGAACUAAGAAUGGUUAUCACAUUUUAAAAUGGUGGGAAAAAAAGACUAUUUUGUGACAUAAAAAUUAUAUGAAAUCCAAAUUUCAGUGUCUAUAAAUUUUGUUGGAAUAUAGUUACCACACUCAUUCUUUUAUGCACUGUUUUUGGCUGGUUUUCUGCCUCAACAGCAGAGUUGAGUAGGUGCAACCAAGACUGUAUGGCCUACAAAGCCUAAAAGUUUGUUAUAGAAAAGUUUGCUGACCAACUCUAUUGGUUGCUUAGUAUUGCUAGGCACUCUGCAAGUCACAGGGAACACAGCAAACUAGACACAUGACUGCCUUGGGCUUAAGAAGAGGUUUCUAAACUUUUGAAUAAAAAACA
rnacentral:lncRNA from 1 species